rnacentral:snRNA from 1 species
AGCUUUGCGCAGUGGCAGUAUCAUAGCCAAUGAGGCUUAUCCUAGGCGAUUAUUGCUAAUUAAAAAA